rnacentral:rRNA from 1 species
UACGUAGGGGGCUAGCGUUGUCCGGAUUUAUUGGGCGUAAAGAGCGUGUAGGCGGCCAGGUAGGUCUGCUGUGAAAACUCGAGGCUCAACCUCGAGAUGUCGGCGGAAACCAUCUGGCUAGAGUCCGGAAGAGGAAAGUGGAAUUCCUGGUGUAGCGGUGAAAUGCGUAGAGAUCCGGAGGAACCCCAGAGGCGAAGGCGGCGCCCUGGCUCGCAACUGACGCUCAUACACGACAGCAUGGGGAGCGAACGGG